rnacentral:lncRNA from 7 species
AGACUGUUGCCAGUAAGAGGACAGAAGUGCAUGUACUGAUAUACAUAAAUGGAAGAAGAGGCUUUGGAUAACCUGUCCUUGUGUGAGAUGGAAACAGCCUGGAUGCUGGACAGGAGCAGCUCUGCCUGGGGUUAUCACCUCACCCAAGGAGCCCCAGCUUUCUCCUGCCCCAGCCGGGUGGGGUGUUGUGUUCUAGCUGCUUUCUCCUGUGUGACUUGCAGAGAGGUCAUAGAGAAUGGCUUUCCGUUCAGCAUAAUCCCACCGAUGCUUUAACUUCUCAGAAAGGCUGCUCUCUGGAAGCCUUAUCACUCCUGAUCCUCAUCAAUGAGAGGUGGUCAGAUUAAAGAAAUUCCUGAACAGUGAGAACACCCAGAGGAUCUCAGUCACAAGCACAGAGCAACAUUGCUCAGUGGGGAGAUUAUUACCAGGAAACUUAAAGUGCUUUAAUUUCCUGCUGAAUGACAGAGGAUCUCUGCUUUCUGCAGUUACCUAUUCCUCAUUACCUAUUCCUCAGCAUCCUAUUUGGCUUUUAGUUCAGCGAUCACUAGUGCUCCAAGCAUUGCAAUUGACUCACAUGACUCCCCUGGAAUGUAAUGAGAGUGAAGCGCACCAAGAAUAAUAAUGGACAUCGUACUCCUCAGCUGCACUGCAUUGCUUCUGCAUACAGAGACAGGGACUCUGGUUUAUGUAGCUUGCUCUAAAGAGGCAUAGUAGGUAUGGCUGCUGUUGCUUUUGAAAUUAAGAACAACAUAGCUGUUAAACAUGCGUGGAAAAAAUUACAUCUCUUCCUGUUCUUAUUGAUGGGCUGUCCACAAAUGCAUCUGUAGUGUCUCAUGUUGGUGUUCUGCUGAUUGAAGAUGUGUGUCAGCAUGAACCCCCAAGGGCCGGAUGGUCAGCUGCUGUUAAUGAGCACUGCACUAUCGACUGCAGCAAAGCCAUCACUCACUAUAGAGUGGCUGAUGAACUGACUUUGAUUCUGAGCAACUCCAUCCACCAGUGCAUCUGUGACCUGAAUCCGAAUUGCACAGCUGCUGUCCUGUAGAUAGUGACACUGAGCCUUAAUGAAGAUACUACAGUGUUACAUUCUGAGAUUAAUCUUAAUGGAACCUUCACAUACCUUCAGUGUUCAGAGUCAACGGAGCCCAUCUGAGUGACUUUUCUGACUUUCUGGCCCUGCGUCAUUUCAAUUUGCUUUUCUAUCUCAUUCCAGACCUUGAAUGCAGUCCCAGAGGGGUAGGGAAAACUCCUACAGAGAGCACAUAGCACCCAGCAUAAAGCAUCUCUGCCUCCUUGAGUACCUGAACACAGAAUGAGCUUUUACAAGGAGCUGAUGGGGCUGUUAGUGCUCCCCACGGGGAGAAACCAGAUGGCUGCGUCUUCAAUGAAGGAUCUCUUCUAAGAAUUAGUUACCUGCAUGUCAUCUUGUUCCCACCCAGGACUGAUUGAUGGGGUUGCCUGUUUGCUGCAGCUGCUUGAACACCUGGAUACAAUCUUCAAAACCAUCUCAGGCAAACCCAGAGCCAGGGGGGCUUGCCCCUUGUAACUCUGCAAUGUGCAGGGCCUUAAAUUGUUACUGCGGCCUCAUGGCAGUGGCACACAGUCCUGUUCCUUCCUCUCUGUCUGGGGAAAUACAGUAGACCUGAUGGCAGUUGUGGUUAAGGCAUGCAUGUCUUCAUGUAAGCCCACACUACUGCUUCAGCCUCUGCCAGGAAGCCACAGGCAGCAUCUCAUGGCUACAAUACAGUGGGUUUCUAACAACACUAGACAGAAUGUUUGGUGCCUUGCUGAUUUCCAACAAAUGACCUUUAAAUCCUGUUCCUAUGCAUGCGUAUUAGGUUUAUAUUUCAGCUGGCACAGCAUGCAGCUGUGGGUAAGCACAUUGCACCUCCAGCUGUGCUGUGAGGGCUCCUUCUCUUUGGUAAGUGUUAUCAGUGGGUUUAUGCACUCCACUAUGGCAAACAUUAACAGUAAUGGGUGUUUGGAAUCCCAAAUGGAUUGAAGGACCAUGACUGCAUGAAUGGUGAAAUCCCAGCCACGCCUGACCUUGUGUGGGAUAUGCUGUUCCAGCUGGAUGCAAUAAGUCUAUGGGUUAACCCUAACUUCAUCCUUACUUCCUUCCUUGCCUUCCCAUUCAGAAGCACUUGUACACAUCGUUUAGAUGAGGAGAGCAUCCUUCGGCUCUCCUAAAUCUUCCCAUCAGCUUCCUCAUCUGGCUCUAAGAAGGACUGUAAGGCUGUACCUGGCCCUAAUGCCCAGGGCUGCUCUGUAAACUGUCGAUUCUAAGAGGUACACCAAACUGUGCACAGGACAGUGAGCAUGUGCUUGUGUGGUGCUCUCAUUGAAGUCCCCCUUUCAUUAAUCUCAUCAAAACUGUUUUAUUCCCCAUAAACACUGUUCUUUAGGGAUCGUUUUCCGAAAAGAAUAUAAAAGAUGUAGAAAUCAAAUAAAUCUGGGUAUUG